GUGCCCAGGCUCACAAUAUUUAUUGAGUCCUUUUAACUUCACUCUCUUUUUUUCCCUAAUGGUUGUGACAGAUAAGAAGAGACCAAGAGGAACAAAGGCAAGAUUUUCUUCCUCCACAAAUUACACACAGUGCAGGAGCCAGGAGGGAGAUCCUGAUUGAGCAUGACAGCUGGAGUGAGAUUCCAUGUGGCACCUCUAAGAGGCAUAAUAGAGAACUCAGAGCCCAGAAGGAGGACAGAGCCAACAAAAUCCUGGGAGAGGGAGCUGGAGUCUACUGUGGCUUGUGUGUCAUCACUGAUAUUUAAAUUCUGAAUGCAGAAUCUGUUUUUCUUCUGACUGGUGAGGCAUGAACCAGAAAAGACACAGCUUAAUGUUUAGAGCCCAGGUUGAGUUUACAAGCAGAACAGAAAAAACUACAAUUAUGGCAUUUUUUCCUAAAUUGAACAGGUUUGAUCUGGAAUUAAGGAAAUUAAAUAUAACAGUGUGAUUACAGAUUGAUUAAGUCACUUUCAAGACUAUAUCUGCAUUUUUAGAAGCUCAUUACAUUACAUUCCUCACUGAUCAUACAAAAAAAUA